CCACUUGGAGGCGUCUGGAGCCGAAGCCUGGAGCCAGCCAGGGCGCUGAGAGGGCUGGAGACUCGCCACCACGCCAGGGCUGCUGAGGUCACGGUCGCCGGGGCCCGAGGGCACCUGCUCGCGGUUCCGCCCGCUCUCUGAUAAUUGUGCGGGAGGCUGGACUCGCAGCGGCGACGGCGACGACAGCAGCAGCAACAGCGAGGACUGGAGCAGGGGCAGCAGCAGCAGCAGCAGCAGCAGCAGCAGCAGCCACACCAGCCGUGACACCAUGGAUCUGUCUUUUAUGGCCGCUCAGUUGCCCAUGAUGGGAGGAGCGUUCAUGGACUCAUCCAAUGAGGACUUCAGUACCGAGUACUCCCUGUUUAACUCCCCUGGCAAUGUCCACUCGACGUCCAACGGCCACGGCCAGCCUGAGGAGUCUCCUCGCUCCUCCAACGAUGCUGUUCUGCUAUGGAUUGCCAUCAUAGCAACACUGGGGAACAUAGUGGUGGUAGGGGUGGUGUAUGCCUUCACCUUCUGAGGAUGCUGAAGCUGUGGGGAUGCCCCUCCCACUCUGGACUCACCUAGUAAGGUUUUUCAUGUGGCUCCAUCUUUCUCCCAGAUUGAAUGGUCCCUGGAGGGGCAGGCACCAUACAUCUGUAAUUUCCUCCAGGCAGAUCGGGUUUAGCAUAUUCCAUGUUGAGGUUGAGCUCAUUCAAGACACCUUGAAGUUGGUGCUUUCAGCUCCUAAAAGCUUGAUGGCUUGAGUCCUUCAAACAGCAGACUGAAAAAUUCUUGAAGUUUCGGUCAGUCCCAGAAUGAUGGUUUUGAACAUCCUAUUGGGUGGGAAAAAUGCAGAUCUGGUUUGGUGACAUUUUCUUAGCAGUCAAUUAUCACUGUAUGUCAUAUUUUUUUUCUGCAGACUUUUUGAACCCAGUAUGUGGGUACUGGGACAAGAAGAACUUUCACAAGUUAGAAUUCCUACCUUUUAAUUUUAUGUCCCACCCCUCGGGACACUGACUGCGAUGUUGUAAGGUCGCAGAGUGUUGAGAAAUUGACUUGUAAAUGAUACUUUGUCACCAGACACUUGGUCCCUUGCAGACUCCAAAUGCAUUAGAAAACCCAGACACUGGAAUGAACUUUCUGAUCUUUGUAAGAAAAGCAGAAGACGUCUUCACAUUUUAGAUCGUCCAGGCAGUUAGCAUUCUCUCCUCCGAGGAUGAUUUAAUCAUGUCCCCCUCAUCACUGGACAGAUGUCAGGGGCAGGGGCCUGAUGAUGGUGUGGUAAGAUAAUGAAGGAGUCAGCGCUGAGUCUGACCUCCAUCCUAGCCAAGUUCUCUAGUGAGCCCGUCCCCACACCACCCCAGCAGCUGAGGCGCAGAGGGAAUCAGGAGAUGUUCAGUCUGGGCAUUUACAGGUCAUCUGGUCUCUGUGCUGUAAAUUGGUUUAGCUGCUGUGCCCUCCGUCACAGGUUUGAUUCCCCACACCCCUCAGUGUAUCCAGCCAUACUUGCAAAUGCUUUGGGGGAAGCUGUUAGUACAGAGAACUGGCCCAACCUUUGUUGCCAAGAAGUAGGGGCAUAGAGUGUCUUCUGAGCCUCCUAGAAUCCUCAGCAGGGCAGGACGCUGGGCUGACACUCAGCUGUUGUGUGUUGGGCAUGGAAGUUGUGGGAUGUUUGCUCUGGCUUCCUGCCUCCUCGUCACACCCCUGAGCCUUUCCCUGUGCCGAGGGUGGGGCACUCUCAUGAGAGAACCCAAGCCAGCAUUGGGAACGGGAGUGUGCUGUGACCCAGUGCUAUCUGAGUGCCUCUUGGGAGCUGCAGCUGGUGGUCUGUCCCCUACCUUAUCUCCAUGGAGAUGGCAGGUUGGGGAAGGAUCUGUGUCUGCUGUACUGAGAGACAGGACAGGAAAGCUAAGGACAGCUUCUAGCCUUGUAAGCAUGUCAGUGCUUUUACACACACACACACACACACACACACACACACACACACAGGCACACAGGCACACACAGAGAGAGAGAGAGAGAGAGAGAGAGAGAGAGAGAGAGAGAGAGAGUCAGAUGACAUCUUUCCUGCUCUCCUAGAUCAGACAGAGUGUUACAUUGUAGACAGUGUUACAUUGUCACGGACAUGGGAAUCCCCUUGCCAACCUGGCAUCAACUGGUCACAUUCUGCCCUCCUAUUUGCUCCAGUUUCCUAUCUGAACUUCCUCACCACAGAUAACAGUGAGGAACAAAUGACAGGUCCCAGCCAGAGUAGCCAAGGUGCAGCCCACUGUCCUUCCUGCCUCUGCUUGGCUCUGUCUUGGUCAUCAGCUAAGGGACGAGCAGGCCUGAGCUCAGUGCUUGAGUGUUGUGAGCAGGCAUGGUGCUAGAUUUUUAUGCACAGCCUUCAUCCUUCCAUCACCUCAUAGCAGCAAGGUCCGUCGUGCCCAGAAAGGAACCAGAGGCCCAAAGAAGUGGAGUAACUUCCGUCAGGCCACACAGUGUAGAAGCGAGGAUCCUCUCUCUCCACUGAGGUACAUUUGAACAGGACUUGAGUCAUCAUAAGGUGUUUCCCAAGGUAUCCCAGCUUGGGAUGGCUCAGACCAUCAGAAUGGGACAGCUUCGGCUUUGUCUACACCCCAGGGAUAAUGAACCUUCCCCCACCACUUAAAAUCGACCUUCAAUCUCCAUGUAGGUCUCCAAGAAGGGUUCCCGAAGUAGGGUUUCUUGGUCACAUGUAUAAGGGGCCCCCAGCAAGGCUUGCAAGCCCCAAGGAACUGCACAUUAGGAAGGUUUCAGUGACCAGCACUGCAGUCAGAUUGUGUAGCAAGCUGACCCAAGCUGGGGUACAGUCUUUCUGUGAGCCCCAAAGCUCUCCAGAGCAGAGGAUAGCAUCUUCUUGGGGACCCCAGCUAGUACCCCAUUGCCUUCUCCCUAGGUAAGGCGGGUCCCAGAGCCCCUUUAAUUUGACAGGAAGGCCCUUACCUUUUGGGUAUCUGACCCUUGGAGAAGUGCUGCCCUUGCUGAAAUGUUCCCUGUGGUCCAUGAAAUCCAAUUAGAGGAACUUAUGAGUUCCUUUUCUGCCUUGCCCAGAGAGGCCACUGUCCCUCCUUGUAUGCGUUUCUAGGAUCCCAAGGAUCAGGAAAUGGGGCAGGUCAGUGCCACACAGCCAGAGAGGCAGUAUGCCAGCUUCUGGUCCUGGCUAGGAUGCUUGUCCACUGACUAGGAUCUGUGUGGGAGCUAGAGCCACACACGCAGCUGAAUAUGUGAUCUGGGCAUUGUGGCCCUCUCCUGCAGGGGUAUGGCCACCCUUUGUCAUCAAUGGGUAGUAAAAUGGCCUAUCUCUCCUGCUGCAGCCAGUCUUGCCUAUCUCUCCUGCUGCAGCCAGUCCUACUUACAAGAUCAUAUAUUUCCCAAGUCGGGACCAAGGAGGAGCAGUCAGAGACCAACUGGCACAUGGGCACCUGUGCCAAGCCCUCCUAGCCUCUUUCCUCCAGGGCCACUCUGUGCAGGGUCUGGAGGAGAGAGAGGGUGCUAAGCUUCAGCUGAGAGCCCCGAGGUACAGAACACAGGCUCGGUGGGGCUCCUUGAAGAAACCGGGGGAUGAAAUUAUGAGCUCUGGUUACCCCUUGUGCAACCUCCUGAGAUCAGAGCUUGAGCAAGACCUGGUAUGGGGGAGGGAGGGAGGGAACCACAAAACCCACAGGGCAGAGGGCAAUGCACAUCACUACCAGCGUGACAAAACCCUGCCAUCACUCAGGACAGAUGGAGGCUACACCUGGAACACAAGUCUGCAUGGUUGGGCCUGGCUCACUGUGGGUGCCGUCUGUGGUUUACUGAUGGGAAAUAAAACCCAAGGGCCGAAAAGUUGCUCAGUGGGUAGAGCAUGAGAACCCUGAGUUCAGAUCCUCAGAGCCCACAUUAAAGUAAAACCAGCUCUGGGAGGAGGGGGGAAGAUAGGCAGGUUCAGGGGGUUCGCUGGCCAGCUACUAGAACCAAAAAAGAUGAGCUCUGGUUCCGUGAGAGACGAUGGUUCUUCUUUUGUUUGCUUUGAGUUUUGUUUUGCUUUUUUAAAUGGUGAGUGGAUAAAUGAUUAAGGAGGAUCCUUGAUGUCAACCCCUGGUCUCCACAUGCAAGCAAGUACAAGUACCUACACAUGUACAUGUGUGCACACAUGCACACGUAGACAAGAUAGAGAGAGAGAGAGGGAGAAGGAAAUCCAGGUGACUCAGGCCUUUCCGAGGACAAGCUUGAGCACAGUAGUGUCCUCAUGACUGUCAAGGCCACAUCAUUGGGGAGACAUCGUCUCAACCUCCCCAUCUUUCUGCCGAUGGCUGCCUCAAAAGCAUUUCGGAUCUGCUUUUCCAUGGGGCUAACUCCCAGCCGAUGUGCGUUCAGCGUGCAUUGGCCACAGGGUACUUCGGAGCGAGCCCUGGUUCUUCAUGGAGCCCUCUGUCUGGUGGAGUAGCCCAAGUCUAUGUCUGCCUCCUGUGGUCUUUCUUGAUUUUUUUUUAAGACUUGCAGCCUGUAUGAGACCUCAUGUGACUGAGGAUAGCUGUGCUUUCCACCCAAAACAAAAUCAUACACUUAAAACAUU
rnacentral:lncRNA from 1 species